GGAGGAUUGGAGAAGGACCCCAAAAAUGAGCCUGAGAAGGAGCAGCCAGUGAAAUAGGAAGAAAGCAAUGGAAAGCUAACACAACUGGAAAUUUCCCAAAGUCUCACCGUCUGCAGGGUAUCAUGCAGACACACUGUACCCUGGGAUGGACUCAAGACCUCAGGAAACAGCCUGACUGAUCUCUGAGGCCCUGGGACAAGACUGCACUCACUGGACACAAGGGCAUCUGAGGCCCUGUAAUCCCUUCAUGAGGUCAGAUGUGCCUGAGAAGCAAAGGGUUAGUGCUGACUGGUGCCAUGAUCAUCAUGCUCAACUGGACUGUGUGUUCUGUCCAGAUCAAGGUGGGCAGGAGGAUGGGUACAGAGCAAGGAGCCCCACUGGGAAGCCACCAGGGAAGCACAGCUGUAAACCAACACCCAUCCUCAUGUCCUCCAAGAACUCCCACCUAUUUCACCGCCAGCUGAGAGGCUGGGACUCACUUGGCAGGUGCCAAGCAGUUUGGCUGAGUGCAUAAAGGAUGUAAUAUAAUCGAUGUCUGUUAUGUGUACAUCUGUAUUUGCCGUUUAUCCUGUGUGGUAAUAAAAGCAGCUGACGUUUAUUGAAG
rnacentral:lncRNA from 1 species